GACGAACCGUGCGAACGUUGUUCGGAUUCACUGGGCUUAAAGGGCGCGUAGGCGGGCUCGCCAGUCUGUGGUGAAAGCCCCCGGCUUAACCGGGGAAGUGCCGUGGAUACUGCGAGUCUGGAGGAGGGUAGGGGCAUCUGGAACGCUGGGUGGAGCGGUGAAAUGCGUUGAUAUCCAGCGGAACUCCGGUGGCGAAGGCGAGGUGCUGGACCCUUUCUGACGCUGAGGCGCGAAAGCCAGGGGAGCAAACGGG
rnacentral:rRNA from 1 species